UAUGUGAGGUCGAUUUGAACCCUUCUUCCUUUGUGGAAUCUAUGGAAGGGUUGACGAGUGAUAUUAUCGCGAUGAAUGAAAUAGAGAAAAGGGUUGCAUCGUUGGGGUUAGCUUCGGUGGAGGUUUCACAGCGGGAUCCGUUUCGGCGAGUUACUCAGUCGAAGCCCUUUGAGGAGUUAAGAGAGGAGCUUAAUCGUAUGAAGGCUUCCAUGUUUGGUGUGGAUCGGGAGGAUCUGAUCCCGUGUGAUCUUAUCCAAGAGGAAACUUCAACCCUAACAUCUUCUGCCCUAAAUCUUCUCCAAUCUCGGUGGUCAGACAUCGUAGAAAUGGAGGGGAGUGAGGAAGCUGUUGUAGAUCGCUUUAAGUAUAUCCCAGACAACCUCUUUCUUGCUAGGGCGAGAAAUCUGGUAUCGAAGCUUGAUGUCCUUCCGAUGGCUGGGAGUGUCCAUUCUCAUGGAGUUGGUGGUAGUAUGGCUGAUUCGAAGGUUUACACACCUAUUGGAGGUCGAUCUGGGUCAGGUGGUCGUGGAGGAAGGGGAGGCAGAGGCCAAAAUCCUGUAGCCCUGAAUCCUGAGUUGAAUGUGGUUUCAGCUGUAGAAGAUUGAUCUUCAGAAGCCAGUGAUUGAAGAUGAAGAUGAUGAGGAUGAUGACGAUGAAGAUGAUGACAAAGAUGAAGAUGAUGUUGAAGGCAAGUGUACAGACAACACUGAAUUUGGCUUUAUGUUUUCUACUCAUAGCAAGUCAUUAUAUUGAAAUCUAUUAUAUGGCAUAUAUGGUUUUGGUUUUUGUCCCCUUCAUGUAUCUUAGUGGCAUUGUGUUAGUAGGUAAUUUUUAAUUGCCUUUUCUUUUUUGUUGGUGUGGUCAUUGUUGAACGUUAGGAAUUAUGGGGCCCAUUCUACAUGGAAUCUUGAAUUUGGAGCACCUCUUUUGGGGUGGUUUUCAUGGGAAGUCCUUUGUUAAGAGGCCUUCUAAUAAAAAGUCCUUGUGUUUAUAAUUUUCUUAGAAAAUAUUAUUAUUUUUGCUUGAGCUGCUUCAUAUGGUGUAAUAUUCAUCUUGACUUGACAGAGUAUAAUUUAUUUGGACUGUUAGUGAGAAAUACAUUUCUCUUGUUUUUGUUUUGUUUGGUUAAAUCGUAAGUGACCAUAAUGUUAUUUAUUUGUUGCGAUCAAUAUCAUGUUUUUAUCAUAAUUAGACCUGCUAACAAGGCCAUCACACAUCACACAACUGGUCAAUUUUUUCGAAUCAACGAAUUUCUGAUUGCAUUCACCUAAUCUCAAUUUUAAUUAUGUCAAAAAUUUUGCUUUCAAUCUGUGGUAAAAUAAGGGGUUAAGGCAGGUGCUAUCUACCUCAAAUGGGUUCAUUUUUUUCAUGUUUGAUAACUUGGACAAUAGUAGUGCUGUUUUACAGGAGGGCUCUUGGUUUUUUGGUGGUCAUUUCUUAGUUUUAAAGAAGUGGCAUAAUAUGAUGAAGCUUACAAAGGAGCAACUGGAUAAGAUUCCUAUUUGGAUCAAAUUAUUCAAUGUCCCAAUGGAAUACUGGAUCUCUUGAUCCCUUUUUGUUGUGUUGGUUAGAUUUAUUUUUUGAUGAUGUUAAAUCUCUGGCCUUGGUAUAAUGGUGUUAUGAACCAUAGUGGUGUUAUGAACCAUGUUUUGUAUAAUUGGUCUUCAAUUAACUAAUUAUGAUUAUCAGAUCAGUUCUGCAAAUCCAGAAAUGUGGCAUUUCUCAAACCCUUGUCUCUCUCUCUCUCUCCCCACCACCCCACCACCCAAAAGAGAUUAUUGUAGUUGGUGUAGAAAUGAUAUUGUUUCUCAAUUCAGAAUUGCAAAAAACACACACACACAAGAUACACAGAUAUUGAAUAGUGUAGACAAUUUUCAAGUGACUCAUUUAUUAUUGUCAGUUCAUUUUUUCUCAAUGUUGAAGAUUGCACACGAAAUGCAUGUCCAUGUUGACUCUUUCUUACCAUUUGAAUGUGUCCAACGGAUAGUGAAAUGGACUGCUGUACAUUCCCAUUUAUUUAGCAUCUUCUCCACCUGGGCAUUAAAUGUAUGUUAUUGGUGAUUUGUCUGACUGUUUAAACUAUCUGUGAGCAUUCAACUGUCUGACUAUUACUAUACAGCUUCUGAGUGUGGAAGAUCCGUGGACAUUGAUCAUUGAUGAUGCCCUGGCUAAUUCUUUUGUCGCACCGGCUAAAUGUUUGGAUUUCUGUUGUCCAGUUCACUCCUCAUCCGCAUGCAGGGGAUGCGGGGUGUAUCUAUCCAAGUUAUGAUUAUGCACAUUGCACUGUGGAUUCUAGUGAGAAUAUUACACAUUCGAUGGAUGAUGGAUGAUCUCAUGCACGAAACUAAAUUGUACAAGACUACUUGGCAGUAUAAGCAUUUUUGGGAGGAUCAAAUAUUUUUGGAUGGAUGUGUAUGGAUAACAAAUAUUAGUAGUUUUAUUUGUUGAUAGCUAUGCAUGGAUAACAAAUAGUUAUGUUUCAAAUUGUUAUGCUAGAUGGAUGUGACUUGUGAAUGAA